rnacentral:rRNA from 1 species
UACGAAGGGGGCUAGCGUUGCUCGGAAUCACUGGGCGUAAAGGGUGCGUAGGCGGGUCUUUAAGUCAGGGGUGAAAUCCUGGAGCUCAACUCCAGAACUGCCUUUGAUACUGAAGAUCUUGAGUUCGGGAGAGGUGAGUGGAACUGCGAGUGUAGAGGUGAAAUUCGUAGAUAUUCGCAAGAACACCGGUGGCGAAGGCGGGUCUCUGGGCCGAUACUGACGCUGAGGAGCGAAAGCGUGGGGAGCAAACAGG